rnacentral:rRNA from 1 species
GAUGAACGCUGGCGGCGUGCCUAAUACAUGCAAGUCGAGCGAACGGACGAGAAGCUUGCUUUUCUGAUGUUAGCGGCGGACGGGUGAGUAACACGUGGAUAACCUACCUAUAAGACUGGGAUAACUUCGGGAAACCGGAGCUAAUACCGGAUAAUAUUUUGAACCGCAUGGUUCAAAAGUGAAAGACGGUCUUGCUGUCACUUAUAGAUGGAUCCGCGCUGCAUUAGCUAGUUGGUAAGGUAACGGCUUACCAAGGCAACGAUGCAUAGCCGACCUGAGAGGGGGGACGGCCACCCUGGAACUGAGACACGGUCCAGACUCCGACGGGAGGCAGCAGUAGGGAAUCUUCCGCGAUGGGCGAAAGCCUGACGGAGCAACGCCGCGUGAGUGAUGAAGGUCUUCGGAUCGUAAAACUCUGUUAUUAGGGAAGAACAUAUGUGUAAGUAACUGUGCACAUCUUGACGGUACCUAAUCAGAAAGCCACGGCUAACUACGUG